rnacentral:lncRNA from 1 species
GUUAACAUCAUUUGGUAAAUCAUUUCACGGCCGCUCUUCCAUCAUCUGAGAUCUUACCGCUCCAAUUCAGUAUGCUGUUUUCUGACCUGAUUGGAGGUCCAAUAACUGACCAGAUCGAGUGUCCAUCUGCUGACAGCAUACAUUGAUCUAUAUGAGGUAUGGGAAUGGAUCAUAGCAUGUUGACAGUUCAUAGGAGCGCAUCUAUCUUUCUAUCAGCAACUCGAUAGAGGGCCGCCAUUCACAGUUGAAGUUGUGUUAUACCUGGUGGUGGUUCAGAACUGUUAAAUGAACGCAUAUGGAAUGCCUAUGCUAGACCGCAGGUAUAUGUUCCUCUUGAAGGGGAACACAUUUACUACUUCCCCAAGGACAUAUGUGGUGCUUUUCAAAAUGGCAAACUUGCAGAUAGCAUAAAACCCAUCUCUCAAAAUUAAUUCCAAGUCAUCUUGUAUUGCUUUAUUAUGUUGUUGUUGUGUUCCAAUUUAAGCAUUUAACUGUAUAUAAAAUGAAAGCAGGUUGUUAUUACUGUAACAGCUUCAGACCUCCAUGCAUCAUGGAUUAGACAAGUAGCGUUCAACAUUUUACAUACCAGAAAAAAUAUUGUGCAAAGCGAUGAAUGUUCAGAGUCUGUGGUGUUAUUAUUCGGAACAUUAGUACAGCG